rnacentral:rRNA from 1 species
AGCAUAGCCGCGGUAAUACGUAGGGUGCAAGCGUUAAUCGGAAUUACUGGGCGUAAAGCGUGCGCAGGCGGUCCGCUAAGACAGAUGUGAAAUCCCCGGGCUUAACCUGGGAACUGCAUUUGUGACUGGCGGGCUAGAGUAUGGCGGAGGGGGGUAGAAUUCCACGUGUAGCAGUGAAAUGCGUAGAGAUGUGGAGGAAUACCGAUGGCGAAGGCAGCCCCCUGGGCCAAUACUGACGCUCAUGCACGAAAGCGUGGGGAGCAAACAGGAUUAGAGACCCCUGUAGUCCCUGUCUCUUAUACA